rnacentral:rRNA from 1 species
AUUGAACGCUGGCGGCAUGCUUUACACAUGCAAGUCGAGCGGCAGCGCGGGGGCAACCCUGGCGGCGAGCGGCGUACGGGUGAGUAAUACAUCGGAACAUGUCCUGUCGUGGGGGAUAGCUCGGCGAAAGCCGGAUUAAUACCGCAUACGAUCUACGGAUGAAAGUGGGGGAUCGCAAGACCUCACGCGAUUGGAGUGGCCGAUGUCGGAUUAGCUAGUUGGGAGGUAAAGGCUUACCAAGGCAACGAUCCGUAGCUGGUCUGAGAGGAUGAUCAGCCACACUGGAACUGAGACACGGUCCAGACUCCUACGGGAGGCAGCAGUGGGAAUUUUGGACAAUGGGGCAACCCUGAUCCAGCCAUGCCGCGUGAGUGAAGAAGGCCU